rnacentral:lncRNA from 1 species
AUGCUUAACCCGAGCAGGCGUGCCAUUAGUGUGAUCACUUUGUGUGUGUGUGUGUGUGUGUGUGUGUGUGUGUGUGUGUGUUUACAUGAAGCAGUACCACUGCCUGAUGAGAGCAUAUACAAACCUGCCCAAUGUACACACACACAGUCACGCCCAAACUUAAUGGAGGAUAUUAGAUGCUGUGAAACCAUGGGGUUUUUUGUUUGUUUUUCUUUUGUUAUUUUAUUUUCUAUGUACUUGUUUGAAUUCAUUGUAAUGUAAUAUAUUCUUUGAUGAGUGUAGUAGUUAGGUAUUUAUGGAUAUAUUGCUGUAAUUUCAGACAAGAAAAAUUAAAUAUUGCAAAAAUGUGUUUGCUGCGUUUUAUUUUUAUCCAAAAAAAAAAAACCUCUUCCUACAACAUUCUUUUCCAAAACAGUAAUUCUGAUGAACACUUCAUACAUAAAAACACAUUUUGACUCAUUAUUCUGACUUUAAACAUUAAAUGGCCAACCAUUAUUUGUUGUUGUUUUCUGAAGAAUCUUAGAUUUUUUUUUUCACAACAUAAAUAGAACAGUAAUAUAUGCCUGAAUGAAUGGUAUGAAAAAAAAUGAAGCUGAUGUAUGUACUGAAAUAAUUCUAAUUCAAAAUACUGUUACAAAAAAACCCUUAUGGGAGGCAGAAAUCAUUUUGCAAGUCAAUGUCUAUUAUAGUCUAUAACAUAAAUAAAGGGGUGCAAAUACAGCAAAAGUUUUCUUUAAUUACACUACUGUAAAGAGAUUGUGCAGUAGAUUAAAAGCACUGGAAAAGUUCAAAUGCCAAAGAAUUGGAUAUGAAUACACAAUGCAGUAUACUGUACAGUUAAAAUAAAUAAAGCAUCCUCUGCCAAAGUGCAUUGUAGUGUUGGUAAUGCCCUUUUUUAUUUUAUUUUGCAAUACUAUAGUAGUUUCUUUGUCUUCUGACAAGAGACUUUCUUUAGACAGUUGUCUCUCUGUUCUGUUAAAAAAAAAUGUUCUUAACAAAUCUACAAAUCUAAAGUUUCUUCUCUAAAGUACUGCUACUGUGUACUGUAAUUAUAGCAUAUGUGGUAACACUUUAUAAUAACGUUCAGUUAUAAGUCAUUUAUAAAUUAUUAGUUAAUGAUGAACUAAUCAUUUACAAAACAUGACUAUACAUUCAUAAAUGAUUAAUAAGUAAUAAGAUAACAUUUUAGUAAUGUUUUAUUAAUUCAAUUAUAAGUCACUUAUAAGUUAUUAGUUAAUGAUGAACGAAUCAUUUACAAAACAUUACUAUAUGUUUAUAAAUGAUUAAUGAGUGGUAUGCUAAGGGUUUACAAAUGUGUUGUAAGUUAUCUUAAAAACAGUUCAAAUCAUGAACUAAAUCAAACUGAUCAAUAGUAGACGGUUUAUAAGUUAUUAGUUGAUACAUUACUUAUCACUGCUAAAUCAUUGAAGUAUUUCUGUCAAAAUUGUUUUGUAUAAUUAUCUCAAUAAACAAUUGUUAAUCAUGAACAAAUGAUGAAUAAACCAUUAGUAAAUGAUCAGUAUAUGAUUUAUUGAUGAAGUUGUAAGCUGGUCUGUGUUCAAAAGCACAAACAUGCAGGUAUGCUAAAGCACUAUUUUUAAGAAGCGUAAUUCAUUUGUUUUGAAGUGGAUAAACAUUUAUAAAUGCCUUAGUCAGGUGAUUCCAGUGGUAGCGUUAAGUCCUUUCACUCAUCAGUGCAGACUUGUGUUCUGUGCGGGAUCUAGUGAUGUGAACUGGUUUUACCUUCCACUGAAGCUCACAUCA